rnacentral:rRNA from 13 species
UGCGGGAGAAAGCAGAAUGCGCCGUACGAUGUACCUAUGGGGGAUUAGGUCGUAGGUGGUGUAACGGACUAUCCUAGCCAAUGAUCCCGAGCCGGCCCGCGAGGGGCAUCGGCCACACUGGAACUGAGACACGG